GACGGUGUUGACCGGAAACGAGGCAUGCUGUCGCUGAGAGCGGCGGUGCAGGACAGCAAUGCCAGACUUUGCGCCUGACGGUGACGGCCCGGCCUCUGCUAGACAGGACAGUUCACGGCAGCAGCGCCAGCAGCACGACGGAUGUUGACCACCAUCCACAUCUGAGCGGCGGCGAGCGGCGGUGCCGACGAGCGGCUGGUGAGGCGGCAGGUCGGCUGCAGGCGGCACUCUCGAUGGUCUCCCCCACCGUGAAGGCGGUGGUGGAUGCCGUGUGGGCGGUGUGGAGCAUCGGCGCCUCCAUCUAUGACUACAUCCACACCAACGCCAUGGAGGAGCGCAUCCACGCCCUGGAGAACGUCAUAACCGUCCACCAGUGUGUGAUCGGCCUCCUGUCCGCCGGCGUGCUGGCGCUCUUCACCUACAUCCUCUUCAAGAAGCUCUGACGUGACUUGGCAAGAGGAAAAACUGAUGGCGAGUAAUGAUAGAGCCAAGCGGUAGGGGGCUAGGAGGGUUAUGGUGGAGGGUUAUGGUGGAGGGUUAUGGUGGAGGGUACGCGGCGGUUUUCCAUGAUGAACGCCAUUUACUAUGUUAGAAGGAAGGAGACUGUAAAAUAAUGGCACCCACACAGGAAGAUGCUUUUUGAUUGUUUUAUCAUUGGAGGAUUUUAAUUUUUUUUGGGGGGGUGGGCAGCAAUCAAUGUUGUCUUUUCACUGUCCUGGUAUUUUUGGAAGGUCUGACUAAUUAGUUUUUUUCCCCCACUUUGAUUUCAUGAUAAAGCUUAAAAUGCUUCUCCAAACUUACAGGGGAGGCAAACUCACAAUACUGUCCUUACUUUUUGCCUUAAUCAAUUAUUUAUUUAUAUAUAUAUAUAUAUAUAUAUAAAAUCAAUUUAAUAAAACAGGCUUAAACUGUUUACUUGUAUACAACCAACAACAUAUUCCUCAGGAUUUGGUGAAAAUGUCACCUAGGGGGACAUCUCCCUUUGAGCUCCUGCUGACAAGAUAAUGAGUCAGCCUAAUGGGAAACAUUACGUCUAAGAGCAUAAUGGACUUUUACCAACACGUUUAGUUUCUGAAAACUGUUUGUUCACCUUUAAUCCAAAGACAUGUUUUUUUUUUUUUUUAACCAGUUUGAUUCAUGACAUUUAACAUUUCUUCUGGACAGUUAGACCAGCAGCUGCUCUGUCACAGUACAAGAGAUCGUACAGUUUUUAGAGUCUUACCCAUAAAUAUUUUCACAUUUGUUCAUGUCACAAACAGGUGCAUUUUAUUGGGCUUUUAUGCAAUAAACCAACACAAAGUAGAGGAUAAUUGUGCAGUGGGAGGAAGGAAAGGGUUACAGCUUUGUUUUCCUCCAUCUUCCCAGUGCCGGCUGCAGAAACGCAUCCCCUCAGCAUGAUGCUGCCGCGACCGUCUUGCUGCAGUUAAGUGUUUCAGCAAACUAAUGAAACAAAGCGAUGCUAAGCUUGGCCUUGUUUUUCUCCAGUGGGUGGUAUCAGGCCAUUUUACUGCUUUUGUAACAUCUGGACUAACUUUAGUCAACUGUAUUUCAAACUCCAAAGGAGCCUUGAGUUUUGAAAGACAGUCAGGCAUAAUGUAACACACUGACUGGUCAAAUGUUAAAAUCAAGGUUUGAUGACAGUAUAUCAAUUUACCUGCUGCAUUUACUGAGCAGUGGCAGAGGAGGGGAAAAAAAUGUUCCUCAUCUCCAGUCUGUUUUAAUUUUUUUCUGUACCUAUCCAGACCUGAAACGUGAUAAAAGUAAUGCUAAACCUUUCCAGACCACCUGCUAAUUUAACUGAUGUCAGCAGGUUUUACUGCCUGAGCUGUAGGUCUAUGCAGCUCCUCCAGAGCCACUAUCCUCCUGAAUCUAGUGCCCUCAGAAGGCCGUUGGGUGCACUGGAUUUUAUUUUACUAGUGUAAAGGGGGCUGAAUAUAAAUACCAGCAACACUUCACACUUUUAAAAAACUCUUCCACUUUACAACUAUGCUCUACUUUAUGUUGGUCAACUGCUUAUAAUCCCAAUAAAAUAUCUUGGAAGUUUAAGGUUUUAAAAUGACCAAAUGUGACUACUUCUGCAAAGCGUGUUACAUUACGUCUCAUAUCUGCUCCUAAAUGUCGAGGAGGGAACACAGACCAUCAACUGUUGUGAUGUAAGAGUAAGGUUUAACAUGUCUAGACUAUUAAGCUCUGUUGAAUGUACUUUUUUUUCCUCUCCAUUAACAUUGUAUACCUCAUAACCAAAAUUGUAGGUGCCACUGCUGUUAAAUUAAGCCACUAAUGUUAAGUGUCCUUAAAACCUGUAAUUAGUCAUAGAGGUUUGUGGUCAUUUUGUUUCAUACAUGAUGAUUGGUACUUUUGAACAGCUUCAGAACACAUUUUCUACCGUGAAAGUUUGCAAUGUCAAUGCACAUAUUUGUAGUGAAGGCAAGCAGGCUAUAUGUGCUGGUGUUUUAGAGCAGGGGUUCCCAAAGUGGGGGUCUGGACCCUCCCUCCCUCCCUUAAGGGGGCCUCGAGAUGACUUGAUGCUGAUGUGCUAAAAAGGUUUAUUUCCUGCAUUUUUUGGUAAGAGCUCUUAUAAAAAUUCAACUCUAUUCUUGUAAUAUUAUGACCUCACCCACCCCCAAAAAAUUGGGUCACCAGUCUCCGCUGCAGUUAUUUUGUGGUUUGCAAGCUCACAAGUUUGGGAACCCCUGUUUUAGAAGGAACAAACAAACAAACAAAAAAAACUCAGCUGGAACAUUGUUUUAAUACAGCCUUAAUUGUCUGUGUUGUCCAAAAGCCAAACCUGAAAGUGACUGAACCAAACGUUCUGCCCACAUCCGUCUGUUUGGUGAAACAGCAGCUCUGACUUCUAUACGCUAUAAAUCACAGACCCAAAUAAUUCAUCCGAGAACGUUUCCUACAACAUGACCUGAAACAACAAACUUUCUGAACUAAAAUGCUCAAUUUAAAACGAUGCGAAUCAAUUCAGUGUAACUCUUACAUCUGGAAUGGCAUGUAAACCACUUAAAUCCUAAAUGAUACUGUGGACCUGUUGAAAAGUUCACAAAAAGUCCAUUAGCAGGUUGGUUGUGGUGGAAAAAUCUUUUCAUUUAUUUUAGCUAAAGGCCAAUAAAGUCAAUAUUCAGAAAUAUCUGUAAAAGUUAAAUGCAAUGGUUCUCUUAGGUAAUUAUUAGUACAUCAGUUAAACACGUGUGCCGUCAUGGUCGUUCCACGUUAGGCUGCGUCCUCCAGGUUCCUCUCACAAGUGUCCGGUCUGAAGCAGAGCGUAUUUGGACACGAAUCGCUCCACGCUCUCCCCCUCCAGGAACUUCAUGGCUCUCCAGUGGAUCUUUCCGCAGUUUUCCGGCCGGCCGAGCGGCCCCAUCUCCUCCUGGAUGUACUGCAGCCACAGGUCUGGACAACAGAGAAUGUUACAUUUUAAAUACAACAGCGUCGUGGGAGCAGUUCUCGACCUUGUGUGAAAUCUUAAAAAAAAAAAAAACAGCUUAGCGGAGUCUGAACGUUGAAAUAGACUUUAGUUUUGUAGAGAUAGUAGAUAUUUUAAUGAAUUCUCAUCUGCCUCUGCUUAAUGUCAAGCUGUAAAUAAACCUUUUUAACUAUCA